rnacentral:tRNA from 1 species
GCCGAAUUCGUCUAGUGGUUAGGACAGGUGGUUCUCAGCCAUCAAACACGGGUUCGAUUCCCGUAUUCGGUA